CGGCGGACGGGUGAGUAACGCGUGGGUAACCUGCCUCAUACAGGGGGAUAACAGUUGGAAACGGCUGCUAAUACCGCAUAAGCGCACAGUACCGCAUGGUACGGUGUGAAAAACUCCGGUGGUAUGAGAUGGACCCGCGUCUGAUUAGGUAAUUGGUGGGGUAACGGCCUACCAAGCCGACGAUCAGUAGCCGACCUGAGAGGGUGACCGGCCACAUUGGGACUGAGACACGGCCCAA
rnacentral:rRNA from 1 species